GACGAACGCUGGCGGCGUGCCUAAUACAUGCAAGUAGAACGCAGUUGCGAACGGGUGAGUAACGCGUAGGUAACUGCCUCAUAGCGGGGGAUAACAAUUGGAAACGAUAGCUAAUACCGCAUACUGAGCGAUGGACCGGCGUUGUAUUAGCAAGUUGGUGAGGUAAAGGCUCACCAAGGCAACGAUACAUAGCCGACCUGAGAGGGUGUUCGGCCAAACGUGUACUGAGAAACGGCCCAGACUCCGUCGGGAGGCAGCAGUAGGGAAACUUCGGAAAUUGACGGAAGUCUGACCGAGCAACGCCGCGUGGGUGAAGAAGGUUUUCGGAUUGUAAAGCUAUGUUGUUAGAGAAGCGGUAACUACCCAGAAAGGGACGGCUAACUACGUGCCAGCAGCCGCGGUAAUUC
rnacentral:rRNA from 1 species